GGGCGAUUGGCUCAGGGGUUAGAGCGCCUCGUUCACACCGAGGAGGUCACUGGUUCGAAUCCAGUAUCGCCCACCA
rnacentral:tRNA from 2 species